CGGACGGGUGAGUAAUGUAUGGGGAUCUGCCUGAUGGCGGGGGGUAACUACUGGAAACGGUAGCUAAUACCGCAUAAUGUCUACGGACCAAAGCGGGGGACCUCCGGGCCUCGCGCCAUCAGAUGAACCCAUAUGGGAUUAGCUAGUAGGUGAGGUAACGGCUUACCUAGGCGACGAUCCCUAGCUGGUCUGAGAGGAUGAUCAGCCACACUGGGACUGAGACACGGCCCAG
rnacentral:rRNA from 1 species